AAAAUAUGGGGAUUGGGUAUCAUGUUCGUCGUAUCCCUCCAUCUUUUGUAUUUUUCAUCAUUCAAUCAACAACAGUUGCUGAAUCUUCUUCAUCCAUUCUGUAUUCUCUUCUCUUUAAUUGCAUAAAUAUCAAAUGACUCAUUCUCUAACUUUAGCUUCUACAGCUCUAAUUCGAUACGGCAUUGGUCCAAAAAUUGGGGCUUUACCUAGGGCAAAUAUGCCAUCGAGAUCAUCUUCAAGGUUAUUCAGAAUUCAAGCUGUGCAAGAUAAUGGGGGAGGGCCUCGGAGGCUAAUAGAUAUUAUUCGCAAUGUUCCUGAGGUUUCGAGAAAUUAUUUCAAAACUCCUUCACGGAGGGCACUCUUUGGAGGUAUAUCAUUACUGGGUGGAUUUUAUGUGGCCCAGACAAUUUCUCUAUCUUUUGGAGCUUUAGGAGUGAAUGAUGUGAUUGCUGCUGUAGUGUGUGUCUUAAUUACUGAAUAUGUGACGCGAUUCUACUACACUCGACCUAAGGUGACUUUUCCGAUUGCUCUUUUGAACAACUUCAAGAUGGGUUUUACCUAUGGUCUGUUCAUUGAUGCCUUCAAACUUGCCAGCUGAAUUGAUUGCCACACUUUUGUAGCAAAAAUUGAUGUGAGAGUUACUCAUUUCUUGUGUCUUGAAAUCUUAUAAUCACCUCGGUUUGCUUACUGUGCUUUGGGAGUUGGUGGAAGUUAAAGCAUUUUACUCAGUACAAGUUCAAGAAGUAAAAAGUUCGUUUUUUACCCCUACCUUGAGCUACCACUUGCGAGAGUGCUUACCAUUUGAGCAACCACUCUUUCCAAAAAGUAAAAAGUGAUGCCAAAAUGAAGGACAUCUUUCAUAUUGAGCCUCUCAUUAGGAGAUUCAGCUGUGCAAUUCAAUGCCAACUCCAAAAUAGAGGUCAGACAACUCAACUUUUUAUCAAAAUCAAUCUCUUCAGGUUGCAAUAAGGUGUCAUCAAUAAUAUCAGCUGGUGCUACAGGUAGUGAAUUACAGACCCAACUCCUCAUGUUCAAAUUUUCUUGAAACAUUUCAUCGUAUGGCCUUUUCCUUGUGAAAGUUUCCAUGAGCAUAAUGCCGUAACUGUACACAUCACAUCUUCUAGAAACUAAUCCAACUGAUCCAUACUCUGAUUCAGUAUUACCAGAGUAAUUAGUUUCUUGAUGAGCCAGAUAAAGAAAUGAAAAUAUUUUACAUAUAUAUGUGUGUGUAUAUAUAUAUUUUCUAUAUAUUGAAAAUAGUUGAAUCUACCUCGAGUAGAGAAGAACUUUAAAAACUGAAAGGUAUAAUGGAAUUGAAACAAGUGUAAGGAAAUCAAUUGAAAUGAUAUGGACUUCUAGUAGAUUAAAGAUGAUAUUAGAAAGAUCCAAUCUAUGAGUUCACUUGGCUGUUUCACUUCCACGCAUACCUUAAGAGAAGGCACUCCUGCUACAUGCUUGCUGAAUUGGCUGAAUAGUGCAAAAUGAUUACCUUCUUCACUGAGGCUAUAGAUCUUCCAUUUAAGAUUAUAUCCACGUUGAAGAAGAUAUAUGUAGUUGGCAAGCCUAAUCUCUGCUUGGUCUAAUAAAAUCUUAGUAUUUAGAUAUCUUUUUGUAUGCUUAAUUGAUGUGGGCAACCCUUUUUCCCCCUUUCUUCUUUUCCUCAUACCUAUUAUAGUAAAUUUGUAUUGCUGAAUGCUGAGGUCAGACAUAGUCCCCCUCUAUGACCUUUGGCUUAUCUAUUGAAUCUCCUUUUUACGUAACUUUUGAUUAAUUUUUUUUUUUGAAAUGAUACUACCACAUGUUUCUUUUUCUUUAUCACCAUAGAUGCAUAAAUAUAGAGUUUGACAUAAGUCAUAUUUCGAUGUUUUCUUUCUAUAUCAUUUUCGUUCAUGCUUAAUCUGUGAUUUGUUACAUCUUUAAUUAAGCUAUUCACUCAGGCUUCCACCCAGUUUUAGUGUGAUGUAAUAGUAAACUAAUUACUAAGUAUUAUUGGAUGUAAAACAACA